CGGGGCCGUAACACUGUCUGA
rnacentral:miRNA from 2 species